rnacentral:rRNA from 1 species
UACGUAGGGUGCGAGCGUUAAUCGGAAUUACUGGGCGUAAAGAGCGCGCAGGCGGUCGUUCAAGUCGAGUGUGAAAGCCCCCGGCUCAACUGGGGAGGGUCAUUCGAUACUGAUCGACUCGAAGGCAGGAGAGGGAAGCGGAAUUCCCGGUGUAGUGGUGAAAUUCGUAGAUAUUCGGAAGAACACCAGUGGCGAAGGCGACUUACUGGACACAUAUUGACGCUGAGGUGCGAAAGCGUGGGGAGCAAACAGG